GUGAGGUGGGCUCUCCUACCCCCUUCUGAUGUCUAUGUCAGAAGCUUUCUCUGUCCUGUCACUUUAAAUAAACUUUUGCACGCAAAGCUCUGAGUGACUGAGACCUGCCUUUGGUCCCGGAGUUAAAUCUUCUCCUUCAGAGAGCACGAACCUGGUGGUGCUGUUCACCAUAAGGUAUCCUCUUGGGAGCUCGUCCGGGAUCUUCAAGACAAGCCAUACCCGCAAUCCAAGUUUUACAGGACACUGCAGACAGGAACACAUUAGAGAGCUAGCUGGAGAUGUAGCUCCAGGGACAUCUCUCAGACUGGAAAUCAUCAUCCUGACCCGAGAGACCCAGAAGCAAGUUCUUGCCACGGCUAUGCCUCUGGAUUGUGUGGAUGGAGACAUUGCUGAUGGCAGAUGGGAACUUGCAGUUCCAGAACCACUCACUCCUUUGAGUUGUAUCUUGAAAACCUGAGAUAAGUUUGAUCCCCAGAGCCUAAAAAGUCCCUUAUAUACACUCUUUCUUUGCUUUAAAAGAAGACCUCACCUGCUCAGAGAGGACAAUCUCUGCUGGGACAACUUUUAUCAGUCUGUAUACCCCUGUCAUCAGAGCCAAUUCAAACACUCUCUGGUUUUAAAUUUUUAUCUAUGAAACUAUGACUACAAAAAGGAGAGAUGACAUUUUUUGACACUGAAUGGCCAUGACAUUCUUUAGAUUUCAGAGAAAAUUGGUUAAAAUGAAAUCUUUUUGAAACUGCAAAACUGGCUCUUUUUUGCACAAUUUCCUUGUGAAAUUAGGAAAAAGCUGGCUCGUUGAAAUACUUUUUUGGAGCUCUAAUUCUGCUUGAGAAACAAAGACAUGCCUGGGAAAAAAAUCUGAAGUUAACCCUUAUCAUGUUCUUGAGAUACACAGCCCACUCUGUCUGGGACUCCCACCAUGAGCAAACUGGUAGAACUUCAAGCCAAGGGAAAGAAAAAAAAGGGCAAAGAGACAUUUUAAAUUUCAAGUGGAAAACUGUGAGGUCUCUGUCUGUCCAGAUUUAUGUGUGUCUCAGUGUGUUGCUGUCCUUGGAUAAAAUUGCUAAAGGCUAAUUGGUCAGUGAGCUCUAUUUAACUGGUCUAAAGAAAAGUAAAUGCUUAAAAAGCAAAUAGGUCUAAAUUCAAGAAAAUUAAAAUGAAUUUCAGGCAUAUGUGAACUGGGAGAUAGUCACUAUUGAAUUGCUACUUGGUAUUGAUGUUUGUUUAUUGAUCUAAUUAACACAUUGUGAAGAUACUUUUACAAAUGACAUAAUGUGGGGUGAUUCAUGUUUACCAAUCUACAAAAUGAUAAUAUAAAGUAUAGUUCAUGGUUACAAUAAGGAAUGGGAUUACAUUUUAUUAGGAAAAAGAAAGUAAGUCUAAACUAACAGGUGACUGUUUCUAAAUGGGCAAAUGGAGUGAUAAAUACAGAAAGUGUAAAAAAAAAAACACACAAAGGCUUGUGACAAAUGAAAGAGAGUUUUAUGCAUGGCACAAGUUUCUUAAGACAUUAAACUGCCUUUGAGCUCUUUUCUUUACUUGGACUAAGUGAAUAACUAUUGUUUCACAGUGAAUGUAAGCUGGUACCAAACUGGAAUUUUAUAUUCUCUCCCUAUUAAAAGAAUAAAGUUUUCUUGGAAUAUGGCUUUUGAUAACAGAUUAUGGCAUGCAUAGACAAAGCUCAUUCUGCUUCUACAAAAAUUAACCCCUCAUCAGGGCAUUUUAAAUGGAUGAACAAUGGCUGUAAACCAAAUAGUUGGGGCUAUGGGAAAUCCAAGAUGGCCACUUGGCUUUUCCCGGCUCCCUGACAAACUUACUUGUAUUUGAUAAGAGAAAGUCUUUUCUAGCUCCAGGGUUAAUGUCUCACAGUAGAUUUUUAAAAAAUGGUUAAAAUGUGUUCUCUACAAUCUCCAGUUAUUGGAGCAUGCACUUUGCUGGACAGGUUGUACAGACAUUGGCAAGAAAACUUCAUGAGCUUCUUGGAGACCAUUGCUUUCACUGGCAUCCUCUGCCAUUUCACUGCCAUCCAGGAUGGCAGAACAAAGGGAUUGGUUACAUGAGAUUAAAUAGACUGCUAAAUAUUUUCAAAAUUUUUGUGAUUUUUUGUCUGACAUAUUACUGCCUUCUAAUCUUUGUUUUCAAGAUAUAAAGAAGCUCUUCUCCUCAAGUCAGUGAUAGUUUAAAACAAUUUAGUGAUUUACACCUGUGGGUAAAAUUAGAACAGUUUUUUAACUCUCUGCCUCAUCCCUUCAGAAAUUGGAGACAUUUGGGUUCUGAACAGCCUCAUCAAAGUGAAAAAAAAAACUGUCUCCAAACAUACACAGAAAUCUCAGAGUAUACUGGGGAGCUCUAAAAGAGCUCUAAAAGAGAAAUCCACCCAACUGAUGUCAGGCCUACACCAUCUAAUAUGUUUCACUGAAUAUCAAGUUCCAGUUUUUCUAAUUAAGGUCUGUAUUUAUUAAGGCUCACUUCUUAGAUACUUCCUUGUGGUUAUGUUACAUUGCUAAGAUGUUUAAUUAAGUUAUUAAAAAGGAUGCUCUGAGUUUGUUUACAAUGCUUAUCUCAAUAACAAGUCUUUGAAUAAAAAUCAGAUGCUCCAGGAUCUACAACCAGGAGAUUAACAGCAGGCUACUGUCAUUUAACAAACUGAGUCAGAUGACCUGGAGAUGUCACUGGGCUAUACCUAAUGGAAGUUCUUGACUUAAGUUCUUAUGAUUUUACCAUUACUGCUAACUAUAGUGUUUUCUAAAUUGCAUAUUUUAAGAACUGUUGUCCAUUACAUUAUCAACUGUGUGACUGAGCCACUGAUAUGAUGAUGGUGUACAGUUCCUUAUGAAAUCCACAGUUAUAAUGGCGUGACUCUAUAUAUGAGAAGAAGCAACAAGAGGGAAUAUUUUCCUGGACCAAGAGACUAGUGAUACAGGUGUGGUCCAGAGACUUUUGCUACUCACAGGGCCUAGUCCAAUAACAGCACAUUGAGUGGCCUCUCAAUGAAAUCUUCGACAGACCUGGGCAUGAGCCGUCCCAGCACCGUGGGACAUGAUGGUUAUGAAAUGCCCCCCAAACCAUAGUCAAACUCAUGGCAAUAAAGGGGCCCUGCUCUGGUAACUUGCACUUGCUGCCUGUCUUUACAAAGAUUAACUCAUGGACACUGCAGCUGCUGACCUUCAACAUCCCCUGAAAGGAGUUUAGGGUGAAAAUCAGAAAUUAGACACUCACUCUGUGCUCUGAAAAAGAAAAAAAAAAGGACAAACAGUCCUUUGGACAGUUAGAUAUUUUCAGGUAAAAACUUUCUUAAGUCCUAAUUCUCGCAUCUUCUCAUAUCUAGAAAAACACUAAAAUUGUUAAUGGUGACAACUACAUUAGCUUAUAUAUUAAUACCACAGUAAGAGGUUAAAGCCUACUUAGACAAACAGACAACUGGCUACCUGUCUAUAAGUUUCUCUAGAACAGCUGUCUAUAUUGGGAUUCAGACUCAUUCUUCUUAAAAGAAAUGAUAAUGUUUAUUUUGUCUGUUAAGGUUCAGGUUGUCACUGUUUCAACUACUUCUAACUAGGUCUGUUAUACCUACAUUCAAAAUGUAUAUAAACAUGCCAAUGUAUAUAAACAUACAAACAUGUAUAUAAACAGGGAAGCCCACGUGUUGACUCUGUCUAGAUCAGGAUCAAAGUUACUACCAAAUGUGACCUGAUUCUUAGUCUUGGUUGGAUCCCUGACUAUAAUAAUUCUUUUACUGAUUUUUGGUCUCUGCAUUUUUAAUCUGUUUGUUUAGUUUGUUCUUUCUAAAGGAUACAACGGCUUCCCAGACAAAGUAAUGGUGAUGCAGAGAUUUUGGUCACUCUUCAAAAUGGACUCCCCAGAUAUUCCACUCUGGUCACAGACAGAAUCUUGGUUUAUAAGCUUUCCUUGGUGGAAAACUAUCUUGACUUUGAUAACUGCAAUCAUAUUAUUUUUGCUGUUUGCUCCUUAUGUCUAUAACUGUAUAAUGAAUUUUGUAUCUAAGAGGCUUGAGGCAUUUAAGUUACAAAUGAUUGUUCAAGCUCCUAUGAUUGCCACAAGCUCUUCCAACUAUUACUUGGGGACCCAGGAUCAGAGAUCCUUAGUACAACAGUAAGGAGAAUAUGAUGCCUCAACAAUUUAGGGUCUGCGCCCCUUGCCAGCAGGAAGAAGUUACAGAAAGAUUUCUCUGCCCGCUUCCCCGGCAACCAUAUUCUCCUAAAAGAAAAAGGGUGGGAUCAAAGAGCUAAAGCUUAGGUAGGCAGUCCAAGGCCCUUUAAGGAGGAGGUGAACAUCCUCUCUCAUACUUUCUUUAAGCCUUGUGCAACAAUGUAUCUUACCCAAGAACUGGCCUUUCUUCAGGUCCAGAACUAAUGAUCACACAGCACAGUGUUUUACUCAUGGACAGCACAGUGUUUUACUCAUGGAAAUGUUUUUCUUAGGCUCUAUGUUAAUGAUUAUAAUUGUAACAAAUCUUGCCUGGGAACCUGUGCCUUAAGACUUGUACCCCUGAUUACACGGCAACGGUAUAUCUACCCCAGAGAUGUUGCCCCAAACCUGUUCUCCCAGGCUAAUCUUGUGCCAAAGCUAUCUCAGUAUGUGUGCCUUGGGAAAGGGUCUAGUGGAACUCUUACAACCUUGAAGUAUUAUUUUUAUCUAUUUUCAGCAGCUAGUUGAAAACUAUAUAAGGCCCACCUGAAUUAGUGAAGCGGGUACUCUCCUACACCAUUUUGAUAUCUAUGUCAGAGGCUUUCUCUGUCCUGUCACUUUAAAUAAACUUUUUCACACAAAA